CCUGACGAGUCGCGACAACGGACGCCGCUCCACUCCCCGCAACCGAUUCCAUAUGGCGAGCCAUGGUGACAGCCAUGACUCCACCCCAUUACUCUUCAUGAUAAAUUCCUCCUGACCCCGUACGGCCCACGAUGAGGCGAUCAUAAACAGUCGCUAUCAAUCCUUUGCUCCCCCCGUCUAUAAAAGGGGGACCCCAGAUACGUUAUUCUCUAAGCUCUCAUUUUCUUACCUAGAAACUCUGCUAAAAUUUUCAUUCGAGCACUCCAUUCUUGUUGAGGCAGAGAACUGACUUGAGCAUCGGAGGAUCUUGCCGGAGCAACC
rnacentral:lncRNA from 1 species